AGGCUUAACACAUGCAAGUCGAGGGGCAUCAGGAAGAAAGCUUGCUUUCUUUGCUGGCGACCGGCGCACGGGUGAGUAACACGUAUCCAACCUGCCCUUUACUCGGGGAUAGCCUUUCGAAAGAAAGAUUAAUACCCGAUGGCAUAAUGAUUCCGCAUGGUUUCAUUAUUAAAGGAUUCCGGUAAAGGAUGGGGAUGCGUUCCAUUAGGUUGUUGGUGAGGUAACGGCUCACCAAGCCUUCGAUGGAUAGGGGUUCUGAGAGGAAGGUCCCCCACAUUGGAACUGAGACACGGUCCAAACUCCUACGGGAGGCAACAGUGAGGAAUAUUGGUCAAUGGGCGCUAGCCUGAACCAGCCAAGUAGCGUGAAGGAUGAAGGCUCUAUGGGUCGUAAACUUCUUUUAUAUAAGAAUAAAGUGCAGUAUGUAUACUGUUUUGUAUGUAUUAUAUGAAUAAGGAUCGGCUAACUCCGUGCCAGCAGCCGCGGUAAUACGGAGGAUUCGAGCGUUAUCCGGAUUUAUUGGGUUUAAAGGGAGCGUAGGUGGACUGGUAAGUCAGUUGUGAAAGUUUGCGGCUCAACCGUAAAAUUGCAGUUGAUACUGUCAGUCUUGAGUACAGUAGAGGUGGGCGGAAUUUGUGGUGUAGCGGUGAAAUGCUUAGAUAUCACGAAGAACUCCGAUUGCGAAGGCAGCUCACUGGACUGCAACUGACACUGAUGCUCGAAAGUGUGGGUAUCAAACAGGAUUAGAUACCCUGGUAGUCCACACAGUAAACGAUGAAUACUCGCUGUUUGCGAUAUACAGUAAGCGGCCAAGCGAAAGCAUUAAGUAUUCCACCUGGGGAGUACGCCGGCAACGGUGAAACUCAAAGGAAUUGACGGGGGCCCGCACAAGCGGAGGAACAUGUGGUUUAAUUCGAUGAUACGCGAGGAACCUUACCCGGGCUUAAGUUGCAGUGGAAUGAUGUGGAAACAUGUCAGUGAGCAAUCACCGCUGUGAAGGUGCUGCAUGGUUGUCGUCAGCUCGUGCCGUGAGGUGUCGGCUUAAGUGCCAUAACGAGCGCAACCCUUAUCUUUAGUUACUAACAGGUUAUGCUGAGGACUCUAGAGAGACUGCCGUCGUAAGAUGUGAGGAAGGUGGGGAUGACGUCAAAUCAGCACGGCCCUUACGUCCGGGGCUACACACGUGUUACAAUGGGGGGUACAGAAGGCAGCUAGCGGGUGACCGUAUGCUAAUCCCAAAAGCCUCUCUCAGUUCGGAUCGAAGUCUGCAACCCGACUUCGUGAAGCUGGAUUCGCUAGUAAUCGCGCAUCAGCCACGGCGCGGUGAAUACGUUCCCGGGCCUUGUACACACCGCCCGUCAAGCCAGGGGAGCCGGGGGUACCUGAAGUACGUAACCGCAAGGAUCGUCCUAGGGUAAAACUGGUGACUGGGGCUAAGUCG
rnacentral:rRNA from 1 species